rnacentral:tRNA from 1 species
AGUAUAGUGCCGGAAUAAACGGAUUAUAUUGAUGUUAUAAAUUAUAAGAAUAUUAUUCUUCUAUACUU